GACGAACGCUGGCGGCGUGCUUAACACAUGCAAGUCGAACGGAAAGGCCCUGCUUUUGUGGGGUGCUCGAGUGGCGAACGGGUGAGUAACACGUGAGUAACCUGCCCUUGACUUUGGGAUAACUUCAGGAAACUGGGGCUAAUACCGGAUAGGAGCUCCUGCUGCAUGGGGGGGGUUGGAAAGUUUCGGCGGUUGGGGAUGGACUCGCGGCUUAUCAGCUUGUUGGUGGGGUGUUGGCUUACCAAGGCUUUGACGGGUGGCCGGCCUUGGAGGGUGACCGGCCACAUUGGGACUGAGGGACGGCCCAGACGCCUACGUUGGGCAGUAGUGGGAAAUAUUGCACAAUGGGCGGGAGCGUGAUGAAGCAGCCCCGCGUGCGGGAUGACGGCCUUCGUGUGGUAAACCGCUUUCGCCUGUGACGAAGCUUGAGUGACGGUAAUGAGUAAAGAAGCACCGGCUAACUACGUG
rnacentral:rRNA from 1 species